CAUGAGCCUUGGCACGUAUGCAGCUGGCUGAGAGCCAAUCAGGCUCAAGGACACGAUGCCCUUGGGCCAUCGGGAAAGUCCCUAAGGUGGGACAGGUAGCCAAAAGAAGGAGGACCAGAAUGAAAAGCCUGGGAAGUGUUAAACAAUCCUGAGCUUAGUUUCUGCAAUAUGUAUGAGUUGAUGAUGUUCCAACUAGAUAAAAGAUGACUGAGCUAUCCAUUAAAGUUGAAGUUCACUGUUCACUCAUAUUGAGCGUCUGGGUCUUCCUUCCGUCGGCAACAAAUUGGCGCCCGAACAGGGACAGGUCUGAACGGGAUUUGGACACUGCUGGCAGUGAUCCAGGGCCACGGUUGGAUGGAAUAAAGGAGAAGCCGGUCCUGCAAUGCAGCCCAGGAGGUGAAAAGGACAAGAAUCCCCGCACCCGCGCCGGGAAGGUGAAAAGGACGUGGAGUCCCCCGCACCCGGGAGUGGAUCCCACCGGUCGCGCGUCGCCGAGAUCUGCAGCUCGGAAGGUGGAAGGGAGUCCCCGCACCCGGGAUGAGCCUAUUUAGUGUCCCGCCGGAAAAGCGCCGCCGAGGUCUUUGCAAAGGCUGCAAUCGACGUAUAUAAAGGGCCAACCUGGGUUCCUAGUCGAUGUGUUAAACCAGCCAUUGAAGAAAAGUCAUCAAGUACAAAUAACAGCAACCAUGGCUGAUCUAACGGCACAAGGGAUUUUGGUUGCAUUAUCUUUGACAAUGACGGUUGGACGUAAUAGUGCCAUCCUAAGCAAAAUCGAACCUCAAACCAAUAUGUGGGUCACUUGGGCAAAUCAAACCGGACAAAGUUCAUUUUGCCUAUUCCUCGCUUCUGCGUCUGAUCCUUUUGUUGAUGAGUUGAAUAUGUUUGAAAUGGUUAAGGGAUCAUACGCAAAAAAUUGUAGUACAAGAUAGUUGGUUUGAAGG